rnacentral:hammerhead_ribozyme from 1 species
AUCCGGUCGACAAGUCCCAAAUAGGACGAAAUGCGCAUCCUGGAU